rnacentral:rRNA from 1 species
UACGGAGGGUGCAAGCGUUAUCCGGAUUCACUGGGUUUAAAGGGUGCGUAGGUGGGUUGGUAAGUCAGUGGUGAAAUCUCCGGGCUUAACUCGGAAACUGCCGUUGAUACUAUCAAUCUUGAAUAUCGCGUAGGUAAGCGGAAUAUGUCAUGUAGCGGUGAAAUGCUUAGAUAUGACAUAGAACACCAAUUGCGAAGGCAGCUUACUUCACGAUCAUUGACACUGAGGCACGAAAGUGUGGGGAGCAAACAGG